rnacentral:lncRNA from 1 species
GUCUGGGGCCGGUCACCGCUGCACUCGCCGAUUUCUGGAAAAACUUCAAACCUUAAUAUCUUACUCAUUUCAACACCAAAUUUCAUGAAAUUUGUACCAAAAUGAAGCUCUCAACAAGGAGAACAUGAUAUUACCACAUUGGAGUCCUAAAACCAAAGGAAUUUGGCCGGAAAAAUCUCAAUAGCUCGGCCAACCCUGCAACUCGACAAACUCGAGUGUCUCGACGUCCAAAAUCUUCCAAAAUUCCUCUAUAAGUUUCAUGAAGAAGUUUUAAGACCUCCUAGAACUUCAAAACUCCACGAAACACUCGCAAUCACCACGGAGCAAUUUGCACCGCUUGCCGGAGCUCGAGUAACUUGAGUUCUACAGGUCCUCAUGUCCAACUAAGGGUAUGGCUCGACUCUUGAGCUUGCAAGGAGUCCAAAAACCACCUAAUCUAACUCGAUCCGUGAGUGCUGAAGCUAGAUGAGGAGAUGACUAUACGGUUUGUACGGACAAAUGAAAAAUCAAGAGAGAGAGAAGGAGAGAAAGAGGGUUGCAUGUGUGAGUGUGUAUGUGUGGUGAUCUGGAUUGGGUACCAUUUAAAAAUCCCUAAGCUCUAAUAGGGCUAUCCCUUAAAGACUAAAAAUUCAUCCCAACUAACCCUAAAUUUCUAUUGGGUCCAACCAAGUAGGACAUAAUAAAAGUGGUCCAUUAUUUAAGCCCUUUUUCCCACUUUCUUAAUCCAUUUAUACAAUCACAACCCAAAGCUCAAGGGCAAAAUAGUCAUUUCCACGCUAUCGAGGAUAAAAUAAAUAUAAAUUCGGGACCGGUCGUCACAAUAGCUAUCCAAGUAUGAAUCAUCCUAUUUUGCGAAAAAACAAAAUACAUAAAUCAGAAAGCACAAAUAUCAAUCACCAUAAAAUCAAUCGCAAUGAUGGAAAAGAAAAUUAAGAAAUUCGAUAACUAAUUGACCGCAACUUACAGCAAACCACAGAAGUAAAUAUCAUAACUCAAUCGCAUUUUGUGGGAAAAUAUCAAACCUAAACAGAAGUCCACUGCAACUCCGAUUUCAAUAUAAUCAAACACAAACAAAAUACCAAACUCAACUCCGAUUAUAAAAAGACUAAACUAAACUUUGAGUGAAACUUUCAAUUGAAUAACCCAGAAUUUAAAUUAUUUACCUUGAGAACAGAGGGUUUUGGAGCCUACAAACAAACACCCAAAAUUUGAAAAACCGACGAACCCAAAAUCACAAAAACACCAAAACUAAAACACAGGAUCGCAUUUUCUUAGCUACCGAGCAAAAAUUUACGAAUCCAAAACUAAAAUAAAAAAAUCUGAAAAACUUACGGCUGGGUGAAGUCCGUACCUUGGAUUUUGGUGUCAUGGGUCUCCUUCCUAAGCAAAAAAUUAUUGCUGACUUGCAUAUGGAGCGUCUGCAAACCAAGUGGAUGAGAUAGUAAGGAUGGGAAAAACAACCAUUCUGGAGUCCUUGGUGAGGUUUUGCUUUGAAAUCGAAUUUAUCUACACCAAAGAAUACCUCCGGAAACGACAAUGGACUUGCAAAGGCUUCUGAA